UGCAGUCGAGCGGACAGAUGGGAGCUUGCUCCCUGAUGUUAGCGGCGGACGGGUGAGUAACACGUGGGUAACCUGCCUGUAAGACUGGGAUAACUCCGGGAAACCGGGGCUAAUACCGGAUGCUUGUUUGAACCGCAUGGUUCAAACAUAAAAGGUGGCUUCGGCUACCACUUACAGAUGGACCCGCGGCGCAUUAGCUAGUUGGUGAGGUAACGGCUCACCAAGGCAACGAGCGUAGCCGACCUGAGAGGGUGAUCGGCCACACUGGGACUGAGACACGGCCCAGACUCCUACGGGAGGCAGCAGAGGGAAUCUUCCGCAAUGGACGAAAGUCUGACGGAGCAACGCCGCGUGAGUGAUGAAGGUUUUCGGAUCGUAAAGUCUGUUGUUAGGGAAGAACAAGUGCCGUUCAAAUAGGGCGGCACCUUGACGGUACCUAACCAGAAAGCCACGGCUACUACGUGCCAGCAGCCGCGGUAAUACGUAGGUGGCAAGCGUUGUCCGGAAUUAUUGGGCGUAAAGGGCUCGCAGCGGUUUCUUAAGUCUGAUGUGAAAGCCCCCGGCUCAACCGGGGAGGGUCAUUGGAAACUGGGGAACUUGAGUGCGAAGAGGAGAGUGGAAUUCCACGUGUAGCGGUGAAAUGCGUAGAGAUGUGGAGGAACACCAGUGGCGAAGGCACUCUCUGGUCUGUAACUGACGCUGAGGAGCGAAAGCGUGGGGAGCGAACAGGAUUAGAUACCCUGGUAGUCCACCCGUAAACGAUGAGUGCUAAGUGUUAGGGGGUUUCCGCCCCUUAGUGCUGCAGCUAACGCAUUAAGCACUCCGCCUGGGGAGUACGGUCGCAAGACUGAAACUCAAAGGAAUUGACGGGGGCCCGCACAAGCGGUGGAGCAUGUGGUUUAUUCGAAGCAACGCGGAGAACCUUACCAGGUCUUGACAUCCUCCUGACAAUCCUAGAAGUAAGGACGUCCCCUUCGGGGGCAG
rnacentral:rRNA from 1 species